CCAGAGGGCCGGGCGGCCGCCGGUGACGCAAGUCGCGGGAGGAAAGUCCGGGCUCCACAGAGUGACGGUGCCGGCUAACGGCCGGCGGGGGCGACCCCAGGGACAGUGCCACAGAAAGCAGACCACCGCAUUUCGAUGCGGCCAGGGCGAAAGGGUGCGGUAAGAGCGCACCGCGGCUCCGGUAACGGAGACGGCAUGGUAAACCCCACCGGGAGCAAGACCGAAUAGGGACGGCGCAUGGGCUACUCGGCCCGGUCGUCCGGGUUGGUUGCUGGAGGCGGCGCGCGAGCGUCGCCCUAGAGGAAUGGUCGCCUAAUCCCGCAAGGGAGGGACAGAACCCGGCUUACAGGCCCUCUGGCAUU
rnacentral:RNase_P_RNA from 1 species